UGUGUGUGUGUGUUUGUGUGUGUGUGUGCGCGCACGCGCGUGCGUGCAUGUGCGUGUGUGUGCACACACACACACACACAUACA
rnacentral:miRNA from 1 species